GGUUGUAGCUCAGUGGUAGAGUGCUUGCCUAGCAUGUGAGGCACUGGGUUCAAUUCUCAGCACCG
rnacentral:tRNA from 1 species